ACACCCCCCGCACACCGCACUUCCUCCGGUAGUGCGCACUUUAUACUUGCCGGUCUUCCAGCCUGAGUCAUACUACUAGGCUUCACGGUCGGAACGAGUUAUCCGUCCAACUAAGUGUUAGGCAUGCGUUCAACAAGACAAGAGGACUUACAACGAUCGGUCCUUAGCUGCCACAGACGGAGUUACUACCACCUUGCAAAACUCUGCCCGGCUUAAGUCAUUUUAAACUAGAUUCUAU
rnacentral:lncRNA from 1 species